UAUAUUAUAUAUAUAGUGUGUGUAUAUUUUAAAAUAUAAAUAUCAGCAUGCCGAAGCUCAGCAAGGAGACCAAGCAGCGGCUGCAGCAAGUUUUCCAAUACGGACAGUUUGCCAUACGAUGGGGCCUCAUCCCUACUAUUCUGUACCUUGGUUUUAAGAGAGGUGCUGAUCCUGGGUUGCCAGAGCCUACUGUUUUAAGUUUGCUUUGGGGUUGAGACAGUUGGAGACCAAAGUAUCUGUUGUCUGCUUAAGGAAGAGACUUGAUGGAAAAUCUUAUUCAAUUCUGUCCAUUGGGAUCCUCUGCAAACUGACUGGCUUCACUGCAUCGCUUUUUUACAUGUAACCAUCAGAUUUUCUAAAGGAAGUUCUAUGCCUGUGAUUGUCUGUUGCAUUAAAUAAACCCUUUACGAAACCAGUAAACCCUUUACAAAACA